rnacentral:rRNA from 1 species
UACAGAGGGGGCGAGCGUUGUUCGGAAUUACUGGGCGUAAAGAGCGCGUAGGCGGACUAGUAAGUUGGGAGUGAAAUCCCAAGGCUUAACCUUGGAAUAGCUUUCAAAACUGCCAGUCUUGAGUGAAGUAGGGGAUGAUGGAAUUCCUAGUGUAGAGGUGAAAUUCUUAGAUAUUAGGAGGAACACCGAUGGCGAAGGCAGUCAUCUGGGCUUUAACUGACGCUGAUGCGCGAAAGCGUGGGGAGCAAACAGG